rnacentral:rRNA from 1 species
GAUGAACGCUGGCGGCGUGCCUAAUACAUGCAAGUCGAGCGAACGGACGAGAAGCUUGCUUCUCUGAUGUUAGCGGCGGACGGGUGAGUAACACGUGGAUAACCUACCUAUAAGACUGGGAUAACUUCGGGAAACCGGAGCUAAUACCGGAUAAUAUUUUGAACCGCAUGGUUCAAAAGUGAAAGACGGUCUUGCUGUCACUUAUAGAUGGAUCCGCGCUGCAUUAGCUAGUUGGUAAGGUAACGGCUUACCAAGGCAACGAUGCAUAGCCGACCUGAGAGGGUGAUCGGCCACACUGGAACUGAGACACGGUCCAGACUCCUACGGGAGGCAGCAGUAGGGAAUCUUCCGCAAUGGGCGAAAGCCUGACGGAGCAACGCUGCGUGAGUGAUGAAGGUCUUCGGAUCGUAAAACUCUGUUAUUAGGGAAGAACAUAUGUGUAAGUAACUGUGCACAUCUUGACGGUACCUAAUCAGAAAGCCACGGCUAACUACGUGCCAGCAGCCGCGGUAAUACGUAGGUGGCAAGCGUUAUCCGGAAUUAUUGGGCGUAAAGCGCGCGUAGGCGGUUUUUUAAGUCUGAUGUGAAAGCCCACGGGCUCACCGUGGAGGGUCAUUGGAAACUGGAAAACUUGAGUGCAGAGGAGAAAAGUGGAAUUCCAUGUGUAGCGGUGAAAUGCGCAGAGAUAUGGAGGAACACCAGUGGCGAAGGCGACUUUCUGGUCUGUAACUGACGCUGAUGUGCGAAAGCGUGGGGAUCAAACAGGAUUAGAUACCCUGGUAGUCCACGCCGUAAACGAUGAGUGCUAAGUGUUAGGGGGUUUCCGCCCCUUAGUGCUGCAGCUAACGCAUUAAGCACUCCGCCUGGGGAGUACGACCGCAAGGUUGAAACUCAAAGGAAUUGACGGGGACCCGCGCAAGCGGUGGAGCAUGUGGUUUAAUUCGAAGCAACGCGAAGAACCUUACCAAAUCUUGACAUCCUUUGACAACUCUAGAGAUAGAGCUUUCCCCUUCGGGGGACAAAGUGACAGGUGGUGCAUGGUUGUCGUCAGCUCGUGUCGUGAGAUGUUGGGUUAAGUCCCGCAACGAGCGCAACCCUUAAGCUUAGUUGCCAUCAUUAAGUUGGGCACUCUAAGUUGACUGCCGGUGACAAACCGGAGGAAGGUGGGGAUGACGUCAAAUCAUCAUGCCCCUUAUGAUUUGGGCUACACACGUGCUACAAUGGACAAUACAAAGGGCAGCGAAACCGCGAGGUCAAGCAAAUCCCAUAAAGUUGUUCUCAGUUCGGAUUGUAGUCUGCAACUCGACUACAUGAAGCUGGAAUCGCUAGUAAUCGUAGAUCAGCAUGCUACGGUGAAUACGUUCCCGGGUCU